rnacentral:rRNA from 1 species
GAUGAACGCUGGCGGCGUGCCUAAUACAUGCAAGUCGAGCGAAUGGAUUAAGAGCUUGCUCUUAUGAAGUUAGCGGCGGACGGGUGAGUAACACGUGGGUAACCUGCCCAUAAGACUGGGAUAACUCCGGGAAACCGGGGCUAAUACCGGAUAACAUUUUGAACCGCAUGGUUCGAAAUUGAAAGGCGGCUUCGGCUGUCACUUAUGGAUGGACCCGCGUCGCAUUAGUUAGUUGGUGAGGUAACGGCUCACUAAGGCAACGAUGCGUAGCCGACCUGGGGGGGUGAUCGGCCACACUGGGACUGAGACACGGCCCAGAAUCCUACGGGAGGCAGCAGUAGGGAAUCUUCCGCAAUGGACGAAAGUCUGACGGAGCAACGCCGCGUGAGUGAUGAAGGCUUUCGGGUCGUAAAACUCUGUUGUUAGGGAAGAACAAGUGCUAGUUGAAUAAGCUGGCACCUUGACGGUACCUAACCAGAAAGCCACGGCUAACUACGUGCCAGCCGCCGCGGUAA